UUUAUCCAUGGACCCCGCAGACAGGCCAUCACUGGAAGACCUUUUUGAGCAUUCUUGGCUGCAGGAGCCCUGCCUGGCCCAGGAGACAGCAGAGAUCCAUCCCUGUGCUCAGUAGGAUCCAGGAGCCCAGCAAGUACCAGCUGCACGCGUCUGGUGGCACUCCAAGAAAACCCCGGAGCGUUUCCCUGUGGCCCCGGCACGGAGGAGAGAGCGCAGCCGAGGAGAUGCUUCCGCUGGUCCCCGGCGAGUUGUGGAGGGAGCGGCUCAGUGCUCCCCGUGCCACUGGAGAAGUGGUGGCAGUGCGGUGAAGGUGCCACGGACUGGAACAGGGGAAACAUCCCCCUGCAGCUCAAUGGCAUCGGGAUGUCCCCGCAAGCCGAGGCACAGCUGGCGUGUUCUUCUGGAGCACCACGUGGAGCUGGGAACACCAUCCUGGAGCUGGCCGCUGGCGGGGCAAAGCCGAGCGGCUUUGGCUGCGGCCCCUUCCUGGAGGACACGCUCUGCGCCCCGAUGAAAUCAAGAUGAGUCCCCAGCCGGCGCAGGGGCGGGGGGAUGCUCGUGCUUCCAGGCAUGGCAGGGCUCGGCCUGGCCAUGCGCCGCAGGUUCCCUGCUCGGCGGCGCUGGGGAAUAUUGAUUUAUUCCCCCGGCUGCCGAGCUGCUUUUUGGUGGGACAGGGGACGGAUGUUGUGGAAGGGGAGCCGGCUCCUGGCCUUGCUGACAGCUUCUGCCAGCCAGCCUGGCACGGGCUGGGGCGGGGGCAGCCAGCCUGACAAAGCAUCCAUCCAUGUGGAUGGGGGCAGCAGAGGGGGACGGGUUCCGAAGCCGUGCCCCAGCUGGUCUGCUUUGCAGGCCCUCGAGGAAGGGGUGCGUUUACGGGUGGGAAAGGUGGGGUUUUUCCCCACCCAUGGACAGGUUUCAUUCUCGCAUGGAGUGGUCAGACCCUCCUCAGGCCCGUGAAACGGUGACAGGCUGUGUAGGUUUUUCUUCUUUCCAGGUCUUGUUUUGAAUUGACUUUCAUGCAAUUGUUCUUUGUUUUUCCCAGGAAGAUUACACCUGGUGCCCGGACUGCAUGGGGAAGCGCCUGCACCGUCCGUGGAGCACAUCCAGUGCCAGCGCUACCCCAGGGGCCACGGCCUGUGGGGACAUCCCCUUCAAGAAGGACGAGGACCUCGUGCGGGAUCAGCUCCUCUCCUGGCAGCAGGUCUGCAGAGGCUGCCAGCACCUCAUGCCAUGGAAACGGCUCCGCUCGGCCUGCCAGGCUGGGAGGGCUGGAGGGCGGCGGGUGUUCAUUUGCUGUCAAAAAGAAAUCAUUCUAUUUUUUUGUCAUCGUCAUGAUCAGAGCAUUUCUUUCAUCCUUUUCCAAGCUUUUGGCCUCCCUUCCUCCAGGGCUUCAGCAGCUCGCUCAGCUCAGAGGAGCUCUCAGAGGAGAAAACGCUGCCUGGCGUGGGGCUGGCUGAUCCCUGUCUCAUCUUGAUUCCAUUUCCCCGCUCCCUCCCCCAUCCAAGAGAGCGAAGGAUCCCCCACAACCGGUCACGAUCCACUCUUGCGGGGUGUUUGUGAUGGUUUGUUAACCGAUCCCAAAAGUGCAAAACUGCAAAUGGCAAGGGACCAUCACUUGAAUCACAACAAAUGCAUCUUUAUUUAGGUACCAACAGCAAAUGCGAUAGAAGGGACAGAAAAGGGAAAUAGAGAGAAAAGAGAGGAAGGGGAAUAGAGCUACCACCGUCGAGACGAGAUCCUCGAUGGUCCAGCCAUCA